rnacentral:lncRNA from 1 species
CAGCGAUGCCGCCGCCGGCCACAAGGUGGCAGUGCCGUGCUGCGUGGCUACACGCCCCUGGAAGCACCGGACCAGCCUUGGUCUGGCAAAAGUUUUCCAGUCUUUCCAGCAGAUGCGCCCAGGCCGUGAGCCCUCCCGGGCGGCCUGGAGGACUCCCGAAAGAAGCCUGGUGUAACUGAGUCUGGAAUUUUUGCUGGGCUUGCUAGGUCUACACUCUCCCACCUGUGCUCCGAGGAGAGGUGUAGACUAUCUCUUGGAUUUUGCUUGGAGGAUGUCCUUUCCGGACUCAGGACCUAGGAGAGACCAGCAGGAAACAGAACAGAGUCUACAUAGGUGAAUAUCAAAGAAUCACCUGGAGAGAUUUACAGACAACAGACUGGGACAAAAGGCCUGAGUCACAGACCAGUGAUUGGCAAAACAGAGAAGCUGAAGCAACUGUACAGCAAGCAGGAGCUCACACACGGGAGCCUACCUCUGGGAAUGCCG